UUUUAUUUAAUCCCUGUUCCCCCUCCAGGAGUUCUGGAUAUGUUGAUCUGCAGGCCGGAUCAACUGGCACCCAGCGUGGGAGCUCCUGGCACAGAGGAGUUAACGAGGAAGCCGUUCGAGAGACAGCCGGCUUAAACUGAAAGUGAAAGCAAAUUGAACCGGAGACCUCUGCUGAGGAGUGAGUAAACUGAAUCAAGGAUUAAAGCUUAAAGCUUCAGAACAUUAAAUUAAGUACCGAGACCUGCACAGACGACUACCCAACGUCUUGUCCGAGUCAUGAACACAACUCACAAGCCGGAAUCACGCACACACAUACCAAAACCACCAGGUGGAAACGAACCGGCAGAGUAUUCCACAGCGAACAUAGCCAUGUAAUGGCUACAACUAACGGCAGGAGCAACCUGCCCAACUCAGCAGGAGCGACCUGCCUACGUGAACAUAGCCGUGUAAUGGCUACAACUAACGGCAGGAGCGACCUGCCCAACUCAGCAGGAGAGACCUGCCUAUGCGAACCGGAGACACAUCUCCCUGGAGCCUUAUGCUGCUUAGUCAGCCUUCUUGAGCCACACCACACCCAUGGUGAAUUUCAACCCCUGCCAAACAGACUACAACUGCUGACAGCCAUGCACAGAACCCCAUGACUGUGGAAGAGGCUCUUCUCAGUCUGGAGGAACAUACACCACCCAAAUAGACUGCAUCCAGUGUUAUGCAAGGCAUGCUCCAAGACAUAGGAGAGAAUGACUUCAUACAGAGACUCCAACAAAUGGCUGUCAACCCCUUCUCCUUGAUUUGGGGGGGGGUUUCCCUUACCUAGUGCCCCUUUUGGGUCCCCUAGCUGCCCUAUUGCUUCUCAUUUCUGUGAAUCCUUGUAUUUUUCAGACGAUUCUGAUGUUCAUUAAUAACUGGAUAGACACAUUUAUGGCAAAGCCCAUUCAGGUACACUAUCAUCAGCUGGAGAUUGCAGAUCAACAAACCUACCAGGAAGGAAUUCCCACAGUGGCCCAUAUGAUGAUGCGGCCUAACUGCCCUGGGGCAAUGGACAGGCAGUCAGAGAAGGGCAACUAGGACAUGCAUGUUAAUUCCAAUGGCCACCUAAGACAGGCACAGGACCAACUGCUGUUCUGCAAGCCCAUGACAGGUAAGGCCUGGGUGGUUCAUGCAAUGAGGUCCUUGACCUAAGACAGAUGCUGUCCUCACAGGGCCUGCCAUACUCUUAAUUAAAUAAUAUAAAAAGGGAGGAGAUGUAGGGAGCCGAGUGACAGGCAUUGCUGCCUCCAUGCCUCUCUCUAUGGGCACUGCGUCUGCAUACAUUAACCAUAAUCCUCUCCUGUUUACGUCACAUAACCGGAUGUGACGGUGACCCUGUUUUAUUCAUCUGUUUAACCUCUUCCUGUUCCAGCUCCCGCCCUUAGCAUAGAAAAGGUGUGAUCAUUUUCUGAAUAAACUUAAGGCUUGAUUGGAUUAUCUCAACUUGCCUUCAUCUCUUUUGUCUCCCCCAUGUCUUUUAUUUAAUCCCCGUUUCCCCUUCCAGGAGUUCUGGAUAUGUUGAUCUGCAGGCCGGAUCAAAUGAGGAAGCUUUGGUGUGAUGUUCUGAGACUGGCCCUGCACAGUAUUCUAAAUCACUGGUGGAAUCAACAGAGGGCCCCUCUUGGCCUCAUUGGGCCCAAUCCAGUAACCGCUCUUGAUCUAUGGCCAACUGCAUUCAGCCUUGUGAGUCUAAAAGUCAUGCAGUGAUUUCUACUCCAGGAGAAAGCUUUGGCAUCUAGCUGAGGAACUGGUAGGGCUCUGCUCAGUGUCCUACAUUACUAGAGGACACACUGAAAGGUCUCUGUGGGCAUACUUGAGCCCCAUCCUGUGACUCUUCAGUGGUCAACAGCAGCCUGCAUUUUCCUUCAUGACCAAAAGGGUGCACGGUGAUUUCCAUCCCACAGGAAAGCUGUAGUAUAUCACUCCAAGACUGGUAAGGCCCUGUCCAGUGUCACACAUCACUGGAGGACACAUCAGAAUGUUCCUCUGGGCUUUUUUUGGGCCAUAACCAGCAAUACCCAAGUGGACUACAGCUUAGUAAAUUGGCUUGUGAACUGAAAAGGUAUGCAGUGAUUUCCACCCCACCAGGAGGCCUUGAUGCACUGCUCUGAGACUGGGAGGACUCGAGACAGUGACCACAAGUGACAGGAAGCCACAUGGCAAAGUCUGUCUAAGGAUCUCCACUCAACUGGGGAAACUCCUUUUAAUAGAGAUAGGUAUUCCCAACCCAAGAAAUGACUGAGACCUUGCCUUUACUUUCACUAAGGGAAUAUAGUUAAUGACAAAAAAAAAAUAGCACCAAAUCUAGUCUCAAACUACUAGCCCACACAAAGCAGGCCUAUAAGAUAUGGAUAUAGGAGAAAAUGUAAGACAUACACAAGAAACUCCUGAAAUGAUAGCAACUGAAGUAAAGAAACAACCUGGGGAGCUAUGAAAAAACUCAAGUCAGAAAUUACCUUCUGAGCAAAAGAACAAAAAUGAUAAAUGUAAUGAAAGAGAUACUGAAUACAUCUAAAGAAGAAAUAGGUAAAAAUUUUGAGAAACAAUGCCAAAAGAUGGAAAGCUUGAAUGAACAAUAUAAGAAACAAAGCAAAUGAAUGAAAUAGAUUCAAAAUAAUAUUCAAGAAAUCAAAAAUUCCAUCAAAAGUUGACAAAACUCCCUCAGUCAAAGUGAAGAUAGGCUUUUUUGGCCUAAAGAUAAGAUUAUAGCUAGUACAAAGAUACAAAGAAAAAUAAUGUAAGAUUGAUAGUUAUAAACAAAAAACAUGACAAAACAAUUGGUGUCAAGAACUAACUACAGAAGUAAUGUCUUAACAUUUCCCAAACCUGAGAAUAAACAUGAGAUACAGAUAAGUUAAACGUGUAGAGUAACAAAUAGCCAUAACCAAAAUAAAACUACAGCAACAUAUAAUAAUAGCCAACAUCCCAGUAAGGCAACAUAAGAAGAGAAUAUUAAAAGCUGUUAGGGAAAAGAAAUAAAUCACCUAUAAGAGAAAGCCUGUCAGAAGACAGGAGAUUUUCAAUACAAAGAAUGAAGUCAGAAAGAGCACAGAGAGAAGCAUUUCAGGUCCUAACAGAAAAUUACUUACAACCCACACUAAUGUACCUUGCAAAACUGCCCUUCAAAAUUUCUGAGAAAUAAGACACUUCCAUGACAAAGAAGAGCUGAAAAUCUUCAUGAUCCCCAAACCAACCACGCAAAGAAUACUGAAAGAUAGUCUAGAUACACAUAGGAAAAAAAAAAAAAAAACAAUAAGCAAUGCCGACAAUUAAACAGAAUUGAAAAAUAAAGAUGUAACAGCAGAAAGAUAACAUAUCAACAAUAAACCAAUAAAUAACACUUAUAUCUUAAAUGUAAAUGACCUCAGUUCACCAAUUAAAAGAAACAGACUUGCAGAAUGGAUCAAGAAACAACAUCCACACAUAUGCUGUAUAUAAGAAACCAGUAUAAUACGAAAGGAAAGUCAUAGAAUGAAAGUCUAAGGAUAGAAACAAUACUUCAUGCAACAGGAAUCCCCCAUACACCAUAAAAACAGGGGGUAGCUAUUCUGUCUUCAGACAAUGUGAACUUCAAACCAAGAAUGACACAAAGAGAUAAAAAAGGUCACUACAUACUAGUUAGGGGAAAACCUAAAGAGAAAAAGAAAAUCUUAAAUAUCUCGGGACAUUUAAGAUUAAGGAGCACUAAGCUAUACAAAACAAAUGUUUCCAGAAAUGAAAAGUCAAAUUAGCAACAACACAAUUAUAACAAAGGCCUUAACACCUGACUGACAGAAACAGACUGCUCAACUAAAUAGAUAAUCAGCAAAAAAAUAACAGAAGUAAACUACAUUUUGAUUAAAUGAGGUUGGUGUGUGAACACAGUGUUUUACCCAACAACAUCAGAACAUACAUUCUUCUCAGAAGCACAUGGGAUUUUCUCUAAAAUAGACCAUAUACUAGUCCACAGACUAUGCUUAAGUAAAUGCAAAAAAAUUGAAAUUAUCCAAUGCAUGUUAUCAGAUCAUAGCACCAUGAAUUAGAAAUGAAUGACAUAAGAACCUGCAUAAAACAAACAAACAUGUAGAAAUUUAAUAAUGCACACCUGAGCAAUCGGUGUGUCACAGAGGAAAUUAAAGAAGAAAUUAAACAAUAUCUACAAGCAAAUGAAAACACCUGAGGCAAUGGGAUGUAAUAAAAGCUGUCUUUAGAGGAAAAUUUAUUGUGUUGAAUUCCCACAUCAGGAAAUACAAUGAACACAAAUGAAAAACUUGAUGCUACACAUUAAACAUGUGGAAAAAGAAGAGCAGGUUAAGAACAAAGCCAAAGCAAGGGAGGUAACGAUAAAGAUCAGAGCAGAAGUAAAUGAAAUAGAGACUAAAAAAAUAAUACAAAGAAUAAAUGAAUCAAAGGUUUUGUUCUUUGAAGGAAAAAAUAAAAUUACUGGAAGUUUAGCACAGUGGUGUAAGCGUCUGCCUGACAAGCACACAGUCAUGAUUUUGAUUCCCCAAGUACCAAAAAAAAAAGGAAAAAUAUAAAAAAGAAUAAGUACAUUUGAUAAGCCCCCCUACACAACCUUGUAUAAAAAAUGAAAGAAACCUCAAAUUUGUACAACAAGGAAUGAAAAGAUUGAAAUCUGUAUCGACCUUCUGGAAAAACAGAAGAUCAUCAAAGCUUAUUUCAAAAGCUCUACUAUCAUAGAUUUGAUAACACAGAAGAAAUGGAUAGAUUCCUAAAAAUACAUGAAUUACUAAUGCUGAGCCAAGAAAAUGUAAAAGAGCUGAAUAAUUCAAUUCAUUAAUAAAAUAGAAAAUAUAAUUUAAAAAGAUGUUAAACAGCUGAAUAACUCAAUUUUAAUUUGUAAUAUAUAAAAUAUAACUAAAAACUUACCAAAAAAGAAAAGCCCAGGUCUAGAUGUAUUCACGGUGGAAUUCUACAAGAAAUUCAAAGACGUUUUAAUGCUGACAAUCCUCUAACUCUUCAAUGAAAUUGAAAGCGAAGCAAUUCUCCCUAACUCAUUACAGGAAGCAAGUAUUACUUUAAUACCAAAGACAGAGAAAGACCCAAUGGAAAAAAAAAGAGAAAUACAGGUCAAUCUCCCUAAAGAACAUAGAUGCAAAAAUUUUCAAUAAAAUAUUGGCAAACAGAAUGCAGCAAAUCAUCAAGAAUAUUAUACACCACAAUCAAGUGGGAUUCAUCCCAGGAAUGCAGGGAUGGUUCAAAUACACAAAUCAAUGAAUGUAACCCACUUUAUCAAUAGAGCAAAAAUAAGAAUCACCUGAUAAUUUCUAUACAAGCAGAAAAAGCUUUGAUGAGGUCCAACACUUAUUCAUGCUAAGAAACUUACAUAAUAUUGGAAUUCACAGUCUUUCACUUGAUAUGAUAGAAGCCAUCUAUGACAAACUAAUAUCCAUUAUCACAUUAAAAGGAAAAAAACUGAAAACCUUUAGUCUACAACCAGGAACAAAUAAAUUUUUUAUCACCACUCCUAUUCAAUAUAGUGCUGGAAAUACUAGCCAGAGCAAUUAGAAAAAAGAGUGAAAUAAAAGAGAAUGAAUAGGAAAAUAAGUUAAAUUAUUAAUAUUUCAGCAUGACAUGAUACAACACAUAGCAGUUCCCAAAAACUCCACUGAAAGACUCCUAGGAAUAAUAACAAAAUUCACUUAUGUAGCUGGACACAAUGCCAACACACAAAAAUCAAUAGCAUAGUUAUACAUAAACAACAGAGUCCCUGAGAGAGAAAUAAGAGAAAUCAUAUCCUUUAAAAUAACUUCUAAAAAACAAAAUACAUAGAAAUUAAUCUAAGAAAUGAAGUAGAAUUUCUUUUCAGGGAAAAUUAUAAUAUUUUGAAAAAGGAAUUCCAGAGGAUCUCAGAAAAUGGAAAGACAUACCUUGUUCAUGGAAGGUAUGCUAGUGGCAUUUUGAUUGGAAUUGCAUUAAACCUGUGAAAAAAAAUUUAGCAGAAUGGCCAUUUUCACAAUAUUUGUUGUUCUUGUUUUGUUCUAUUUGUUUCCACGAACAAAGAACAACUAUUGUGAAAAUGGCCAUUCUCCUAAAAUUGUUCCACAGAUGUAAUGAAAUCCCAAUCAAAAUGCCACUAGCAUACCUCAUAAAUAUAGAGAAAUUAUUCCUAAAAUUCAUCUGGAACCAGAAAAGACCUAGAAUAGCAAAGGUAAUUCUGAGGAACAAAUUCAAGGCAGGAAGCAUUACUACCCUGGGCUUGAAGUUAUACUACAAAGUACUGCAAUAAAAUUGACAUGGAACUUAAAUUAAAAUAUACCUAAAAUAAAUGGAAUAGAUUAGAAGAUACAACUACAUCUGCAAACACAUUCAGUCAUAUCAUCUAUGAUAAAGAGGACAAACAUGUUCACUGGAAGAAAGAAAGUCUCUGUAAUAAAAGAAGCUAUAAAAACAGGCUAUUCAUAUGCUGAAAAGUAAAACUAAACCCAUGCCUGUUAACAUGUUCUAAACAAAAAUAUAAAUGGAUCAAAGAUACAAAUAUUAAAACCAAAAUACUAAAUCUUCUAGAAUAUAAAUUAGGUAGAAAUCUUGAAAACAUAGGGUAAGUAGGGAAUUCAUAUACAAAAUUCUGACUGAAUGGGAAACAAUACCCAGAAUCAAUACCUAGGAUCAUAUCUUAUUAUACAGUUUUGGCAUAUCUAAAUAAAUGCCCAAAAUAGUGAAAAGAAAACAAACAAAUUGGAAAAAAAAUAUUAGUCAAGUGUCCUUUAGAUAAAGGACUUUGGUCCCAGACAUAUAAAGAGUUUAAAAAACCUGUCCCCUGAAAUUCAAAGAUUCAAUCCAAAAAUGGCCAUCUGAGAUGAAUACACAGUUCUCAGAUGAAGAAAUACAAAUGUCAAACAAAUACAUGAAAAAUGUUCAGCUCAUUGGUCCUUAGAGAAAUGAAAUAAAACCACACUGAGAUUCCAUCUCACUCCAGAAAGAAUCGCCAGGAUCAAGAAAUCUACAAACAACAAAUGCUGGAGAGACUGCAAGGAAAGAGCAACUCUCCUGUACUGUCGUUGAGAGUACAGACUGGGACAACCACUAUGGAAGUCAGUCUGGAGGUUUCUAAAAGCUGUGACUAGAAGUCUCAUUUGACCCAGAUAUUCCACUUCUGGGCAUAUUCCCAGAAUAUCUGAAAACUUUGUGCCACAGUGAUAUAUGUGCACCCUUGUUUAUAGGAACACAAUUUGUAAUAGCCAGAUCUUGCAAACAAUCUAAAUGUCCAUCAACUGAGGAAUGAAUAAAAAGGAUGUGGUAUUUUUAUGUAAUGGAGUACUACUUAGCUAUAAAGAAUGAUCACACUGAGAUACUUAUAAAUAAAUGGAUGCAGCUUGAGGCCAUACUCAUAUGUGAAAUAAAUCAAACUCAUUUGUGUA